AUGUGCUUGUUCAAAGAUGGCCAGGUGUCGAAAAUUACUCCAUAUAACUAUCAUAUCUGCUUCCACUCUUAUGAAUCGGAUGAAAUGUUGCACGAGACGGUCAAACAAUUCUUUGCUCUCGACAGUUUGGGAAUAUGCGCCCCACAGAACCACCUUCAUUCCAAGGAGGACGAACGAGCUUUGGAGAAACUGCGUGAUGUUACAACUUUGAAGAACGGGCGCUAUCAAGUGGGCUUGCUCUGGAAAUAUGACAACGUACGAUUACCCAACAACCGCUCCAUGGCGUUGAGACGCCAUCGUUGCUUGACGAAAAGAAUGGAACGCGAGCCCGAAUUAGCAGGGACAUUGCGGUCAAAAAUGGCGGACUACGAGCGAAAGGGCUAUAUCCGUAAGCUCACAUCUGAAGAGAGCCGAAGGACCGGAGAUCGAACAUGGUACCUGCCGAUAUUCCCGGUAUUUAAUCCCAACAAACCUGGGAAAGUUCGCAUUGUCUUCGAUGCGGCCGCCUCCUUCGGAGGUGUAUCUCUGAAUUCUUUUCUGAUGAAAGGCCCAGAUCAGCUGAAUGAUCUGCCGCCCGUGCUGUAUAAGUUCCGAGAGCGUUUGAUAGGUCUAGGAGGCGACGUGGCGGAGAUGUUUCAUCAGCUGAGAAUAAAUUCUGAAGAUGAAGAUAGUCAGCGUAUCGUGUGGUGUGCCAAUGAACACACAAUGGAGCCAUGCGACUUUGUUAUGCAGGUCGUGACCUUCGGUGCUACGUGCUCACCCAGCACGGCACUGUUCGUGUUAAACGAAAACGCAACUCGGUUUGCCAGCAAGUAUCCCGCCGCCGUCGACGCCAUCCGCCACCGGCACUAUGUUGAUGACAUGCUGACAAGCGUGGAUACGGAGGAGCAAGCGAUCAAAUUGGCGAACGAGGUCCGAUACGUCCAUCAGCAGGGCGGAUUUCACAUGAGGAACUGGAUAAUUAGCGAUCGAGGGACAAACUUUGUAGGUGCGGACAAAGAGUUGAAAGAGACAGUAGCAGCGUUGGACCAGAACCAAUUAAUGGCAGAAUUUAACACGACAAGGACUACAUGGCGCUUCAACCCUCCUGCAUCUCCUCACAUGGGUGGUUGUUGGGAGCGGCUAAUCCAGUCGGUGAAGAAAAUUCUGGCAAACGUCAAACCGCAGCGUGUACCGACGGAAGAGGUACUUAGAAACUACUUGAUUCAAGUCGAAAAUAUUGUCAACAGUCGACCUCUGACACACGUUCCCGUGGAUGACUGUUCAUUGCCGGCGCUCACUCCCAACCACUUUCUGUUGGGGUCGUCGGAUGGGUCGAAACCGUUGGUUCAGUAUACCGAGUGCCCAUUGGCAUUACACCGCUCGUGGAAGGCAUCAGAGGCUCUUGCCAACCUCUACUGGAAGAGAUGGGUUGCGGAAUACCUUCCUACAAUCACGCGUCGAACAAAGUGGUUCUAUCCAGUUAAACCGAUCAGAAUAGGAGAUGUCGUCGUGAUAGCUGACCCGAAUUUCCCGAGGAACUGUUGGCCCAAAGGGCGGGUGGUGUCUGUAAAAGCCUCUGCAGAUGGACAAGUUCGAUCGGCGGUCGUCCAGACUAACACCGGAGUCUACGAGAGACCCGCGACCAAGCUGGCUGUAUUAGAUGUAGGUGCGAAUGGAAGUGGGUCGAACCAGGGUUCAACCACUGGGGGGGACUGUUGCGUACAACAUUCGCUGACCGCCGCACCUACCUAUCAACAUCAUUGAGACAGCAGCGCUUCGCGUUGUGUUGUGAAGUUGCCUAUGAUGCACGACUGUAUGCUUCAUAACCAACUUCACAAUACAACGUGACACUUGAUAGACAAAAGCAGAUAGCCAUCAAAGUUAAAUUGGUACGGUGAAGGAAUUGAAAGUUUAAAUAUACGGAAAGUCUUUCUAGUAUUCCAAGUGAAAAUAUCAGCGAAUCGAAAUUUUGCAGAAGCUAAAAGCAGAAUACACUGUACACACGCACAGAAUAGGAGAUUUAUUGAAGAUCCGGUCGACGAGUUAACGAAACCCACAAAACGAGAUUUUUAACCGUUCAACCUCGAGCGGUUCCGAAUAAACGAGUUGAAUUUCCGGAAGUUGGUUUCCUUUCGUUGCGAAAGCAACAUGCACCUUAAGCCAGAAGGGAUUCCAUCAGGAGGAAAGUGAUGCCACUGAAGAGGCGACCAAGAAAGUAUCAGCAUCGAAAAACGGUUCCACUUAAGGCAUCGGAGCAGCCGCCACACAAACACACACACGCGCGGAACUCUUUUCGUUUGGUUGUUAUUCAGCAUCGGGAAGAUUCCGGAAAGAUGUCAUCGUUGCUGAAAAAUAAUCUACUAGUUCCCCUUGAAAUUAAAAAAUACAUUCAUGUGAAAGAGUUUAUUUUAAUGAGGAGGCGAUCUGGCUUAGUGGUAACAACCAUACCUCUCACGCUGAAGAUCACGAGUUCAAUUCUCACUCCCGACAUUCUCCCAAGAGAUGGAAGUAAAAAGUGACGAACAAACCAAAAGUGUUGAUAGUCAUUAUAAUACAGAUAAAAAAAAGUUUAUUUUAAUGUUUUCUAUCCAUAUAACACUGCGACCAAAUACAUUUGGUUUUGUGAUUUUUCAAUCAAGUGCGAGCAACGUAAGACAGCGUCUUUCGGCAAUUUAUUAGAGGUGCAAUGAAUCUUGAGAAGGAAUUCCCGCUCUACGCGCAAACGAUGUUUACUCAACAAUUUCUCAAACGAGA